rnacentral:rRNA from 1 species
AUACGGAGGGUGCAAGCGUUAAUCGGAAUUACUGGGCGUAAAGCGCACGUAGGCGGCUUGUUAAGUCAGAUGUGAAAGCCCCGGGCUCAACCUGGGAACUGCAUUUGAUACUGGCAGGCUAGAGUAUGCUAGAGGCAAGUGGAAUUCCGGGUGUAGCGGUGAAAUGCGUAGAUAUCCGGAGGAACACCAGUGGCGAAGGCGACUUGCUGGACCAAUACUGACGCUGAGGUGCGAAAGCGUGGGGAGCAAACAGAAUUAGAAACCCUAGUAGUCC